rnacentral:miRNA from 1 species
UUAUGGAUAAGCAAAAACGUCAUUUCUUGAGAUGAAAUAUGCUCCUGUUGACAUGCCAUGAGAAUUACUGAAAUGACAACAACACGUAUAGAAUAUUUCUUAAACUUAGUUGAUAAAGCAGGAGCAGAGUUUGAGAAGUUUGACUU